GUGCGCGGGCGGAUGGAUCAACGCCGCCAAGUGGUGAGUUUGGAAGGUUUCAAGUUUAGAAGGUUUCAAGUUUAGAAGGUUUCAAGUUUGGAAAGAAAUGAAAUUAUGUGAUGAGGUUUCUAACUGGGCCCAGGAGGGGGCGAGGUAGGCAAAACAGAGACUAGCUCUGCCUGGAGGGAAAAAAAAGCAACAUUUGUGACCAGCCUAGGCGACAUAGUGAGACCUGUCUCUACAAAAAAUAUAUAAUUAGCUGGGCGUGGUGGCGCGCGCCUGUGGUCCAAGCUUCUCCGGAGGCUGAGGUCGGGGGAUCGCCUGAGCCCUGGAGGUCGUUGCUGCAUUGAGCCGUGAACGCACCACUGCAUUCCAGCCUGGGCAACAGAGCGAACUCUAUCUCAAAACAAAACAAAACAAAACAAGAAAAAGAAAAAAAGAAGAAAAUUAAAAAAAAAAAGAAAGAAAAAGAACGUCCCAGGUCUGUUGAAGCACUAAGAAAAGCAGAAAAAGAAAGGGGAGCCAGGGAAGGGCUGGCAGGCUGUGCAAUUUAAGGGAGCACCAGAAAAACUGGCAAUCAAAUAAUAUAUUAAUGUAAUAUUUUAAAAAGUAAAAAUUAAUGCAGGAAAUCCGGGAGGAACAAAAUAAGAGUCAUGUGUACCUUAACAACAGGGUAAGGUCUGAGGAUUGCGUCAUUAGGCGAUUUUGUUGCUGUACGAACACCACAGAAUGUACUUUGACGACCUAGAUGGUGGAGCCUGGACACACCUCGGCUCUGUGGUGUGGCCUGCUGCUUCCAGGCUGCAAACCUGACAGCAUGGGGCUGUACUGAAUACCGCAGACCAUUGUAAUUCAUGGGGAAAGCGCGAAUGCAGUCCCCCACUACAACAAAUUAUGCAGUCGAGUUUUCCACAUUUGGGAAUAUCACAGGGGUCAGCACAUCCGGAGUGCAAUCGAUGAGCCCCACGCUGGGAAAAACCACCUUCGUGAUCAUGGUAUCUUCCCUGCCAGCAACCUAAUCACAGAGCCUCCCAGCCCGAUGCUACAAAGAGCCGCAUGCUGCCAGUUUCCUUGUGGGCAGGGACCUAUGUAUUAUAAUGGUGAAUAUAUUUAUACUUGAAUCCACAGAGAAGACACAGUAGACUAGUCAUACCAUUGUGAGUAGUGCUCAGAUUCUUUCUUGACCCCCCAUCAUCCAAAAAUAUACCUUUCCAGUGUGGCAGUCUUGAACUUUUCCAAAUUCAGCUGCUGUUGGAGCUCUUCUGUUUUUCCCAGGGAAGGCCGGAGAACUGUAUUUCUGGCCAGAGCUGCUGCAGAAGGUCUCUGUUCGGCAUCAGGUUGGAUCAUGUUCUGAUGAUAUAGGACCAAGAGGAAAGAAACAGAAGCUUCACUAUUGGGAAAAAUCUUCCCAUUCAAGCCAACUCCAACCCAGCUUCUCCUGGUGGAUUUUAGAGAAACCAAUCAGCUUCAUUUUCAACUUCUUCUAUGACUCCAGAGGAUUCACUUUGCAUCUUGUGACAAAUGAAUAUAUUACCUGAAAAAAAAAUGACAGGAUAGAUGAGUUGCUGCACAGGGGGAAAGCGAAGUUCCCAGGAGUAAGAUGUGCAAGAAGCGGGCAGCCUUGCAUCUCAGGGCUGAGUUCCCUCAACUGUGUGCUUGAGGGAAGUUCUCCCCUUGCAGACACACUGCUGAGUGAUAAGGAAGCACCUAGACUCCACUCUGACCAGACUUGGUUCUGAGGCCUAUGAAAUGUUGAUGGGAAGAACAGAAGCAGGAAAAUCUAUCUAUUCAAAUUUGCAAGACGUGGAAACUUUUAUUCACCUUCCUGGUUAGACUGUUCCUUUGUCAAAGUAAAGCUAAGGCCAUGGAAAAUGAGCUAUUUGAGAGUUUGUCGCUCCAAGGAAGAACAUGCUGGCCUAAUUGUCCCCCAAGUCAGGAGAGAGAAUUGUAAAAAACACUUAAACAGGCCUAAGUAAAGGUCCAGCACAUUAUUUAUUUAAGACUGAAUUAGAACUGAGUCAUUCCGACUCUGAAAAAAGAGUGUUGUUGGAUUCUUAUGUAUUUAAUGGGUCUGCCCUAUUGAAAACCAUUGUGAAGUAUGGUUUCCCAAGCAAGAAAUGACACUUUCACUGUCAGUCUUUCUAGGAGUCUGGCAGAAUCCAGGACCGGGAUUACCCUUAUUUAUGAAGCGACCUUAGACUAACAGUGGCUCUCUGGGUCUCCAGACAAUUGGCCAGGGACUCUAAAAACCAGAAACAAAGUUGAGAGAACUCCAUGCUGGUGGAGAAAAACAGCUGGCCUUUAUCACCAGAAUGUGCCCCAUAGAAGCAGCAAAGCAGCAAGCGACGUUCUUAAACAAGGGCCUGUGGGCCUCGUCAAGAUCUGGAGGAAUCAUCUACGACUCACUGCUGAGUGAGAGGGCUAGGCAGUGUCUUUAAGGUCCUGCCAGCUUUAACAUUGUAUGCUUUUUCUUUUGUUCAAUCUCUCACCACAACUGGAAGUGUUGCCUCAACUACACAGGAGAAAGUUUGCAGUAACUUAGAGAAAACAUUAUUUUAAUCACCAGUGUAUGUUCUCCUGCUCCCUGGACAAAUCCAUCAGCAGCGGCAACACUGACCAGGUCCAGAUUGGGGCCGCUGCGGUGGAUGUGAAUCCAUUGAAACUAGGGGUCUCCAGUGCUCCUGACUCCUCACAGCUCUGUUCCUAUGACAAGGAUGGUCAGCAAAGCCAGCAACCUUGAAGGGGGACCUUCUUCUAAUCUCCUCCCUGCCUGCUGAGAGAGUGUACAGAAGCAGCCACUUGUCAGCUGCGAUGAAUCCAAUGAUAAUUACAUAAAUCAUUAACAAUACUUGAUAUUUGCCCAUCACAUUUCUCAUUUCAAAGUGCUCAUAAAAUUGUAUCUCAUGGGUGGCACUGCCGGCACAACAGAAUUCCAAGGAAGGAUUACGGGCUAAGUAAAUAAAGCCUGGAGGCUGCUUUAAAGCCUAGGAGUCUGUUAUUAACCCUUUCCUCCUUUUUGUUUAACUUUUUCUCAUGGAAAUGUUCAAACAUACCAAAAAUAGAGAAAAUACUAUAAUGAGUCCUUAUGUAUCCAUAACCUAGCUUCAAAAAUUAUGUAUGGCUUUACAGUCUUGUUUAGUUCAUAACUGCAACUUCAUUGAGGGUGAGUGCUGGGGUAUUGUGAAGCAAAUCAGUGACAACAUAUUUUACCCAUGGAUACUUUAGUGCCAUUAAUAAAAACCCCUAGGUUAUUCUAUUAAUUUGAAAUCUACUAUAAAUCUAUCUGAUGAAUAAAUCAAACAGAUUUUAACAAAUUGCUUCUCUUGCCAAAGUUUCCCAUUUGCUAGAACUAGAGAUUAUUCAUCAAAAUAGCUGUGACAGUAGAAACAUACCACUUGUCUACACACACAACACAUAGCAUACUUAGAAUAGGAAUAGAUCUCUGAUUUGAUGUCCCAGUAAUUUAGAGAUUGAUGAUAUCCUACCGAUACUUUAAGGAGCAGACAUUUUAAAACGAUGGUACAGACCCACUAGUCUGACCUUUUCUCUGUUAGUCACAGUUGGGCUGUGGUCAUUCCCGGAGUCCCUAAGAUUAGAACAGGUAAUGGGUCACCUGUGUGACCUGCACCAAGGCCAGCCCCACCGCCCCCGGCCACAGAAAUAAGAUCUCUCUCUCUCUCUGUCUGUCUCUGUGUGUGUAUGUAUGUGUGUAUGUCUGUUUCUGCCUCUCCCACAUCACAUACAUACAUACACACACACACACACACACACACAGUGCCUCACUGGGAAGAAAUGAGCAGGUAUGGAGGAGACAUUCUCAGAGAUGGAUCUCUACUGUGCUCCGUCUUGACUUAUUUGCUGUCAGUGCUCCAAGGGAUGAGCUCUGGAGGUCAUCAGUAACUUGGUCAAACAUCCACAGCUACUUCUUCAUCCUUCUGAUCCAAUCAAGAGAUUCCUAUGCUGAAGUUUUACCUU
rnacentral:lncRNA from 1 species